rnacentral:rRNA from 1 species
AGAUGGCGACCGGCGCGCGGGUGAGUAACACGUAUCCAACCUGCCGAUAACUCGGGGAUAGCCUUUCGAAAGAAAGAUUAAUACCCGAUGGUAUAAUCAGACCGCAUGGUUUGAUUAUUAAAGAAUUUCGGUUAUCGAUGGGGAUGCGUUCCAUUAGGCAGUUGGUGAGGUAACGGCUCACCAAACCUUCGAUGGAUAGGGGUUCUGAGAGGAAGGUCCCCCACAUUGGAACUGAGACACGGUCCAA